rnacentral:rRNA from 1 species
UACGUAUGGUGCAAGCGUUAUCCGGAUUUAUUGGGCGUAAAGCGAGCGCAGGUGGUUUAUUAAGUCUGGUGUAAAAGGCAGUGGCUCAACCAUUGUAUGCAUUGGAAACUGGUAGACUUGAGUGCAGGAGAGGAGAGUGGAAUUCCAUGUGUAGCGGUGAAAUGCGUAGAUAUAUGGAGGAACACCGGUGGCGAAAGCGGCUCUCUGGCCUGUAACUGACACUGAGGCUCGAAAGCGUGGGGAGCAAACAGG